rnacentral:rRNA from 1 species
ACGGAGGAUGCAAGCGUUAUCCGGAAUGAUUGGGCGUAAAGGGUCCGCAGGUGGCAAUGUGUGUCUGCUGUCAAAGAAUGAGGCUUAACCUCAUCAAGGCAGUGGAAACUACAUAGCUAGAGUACGGUCGGGGUAGAAGGAAUUCCUGGUGUAGCGGUGAAAUGCGUAGAGAUCAGGAAGAACACCGGUGGCGAAAGCGUUCUGCUAGACCUGUACUGACACUGAGGGACGAAAGCUAGGGGAGCGAAUGGGAUUAGAAACCCGCGUAGUCC